rnacentral:lncRNA from 1 species
GCCGUCACCGCGCUCCGCUGAAUCCGCGUUUCCGGGAUUUCUCUGUAGGUGAGGCGGGAGGCUGGAGGGAGCUGAGCCCCCGGGGAGGGGGCCCGAUUCCGCCUCGCCGCGCCUCUGGCUGCUGGGCCGUGGGUUUUUCUCUUCUCCUGGGAGUAAGGAGGACGACGGCCCCUAACCCCUGAAUUAGCCUUCUAUUUCCAUUAGUGACUUAGAAGCUACCCGGCGCCUCAUCUGGGCUCACCUGAGCUGAGGAUCAGGAAGGGGAGGGGGCACAGUCAUUCCCUCGCGGACGCGGCGGGACCCCAGCGGACGGCUUUGUGCGGACUUUCGGCACCGUUAUGCCCCCCUAGCCCGACACCACCUGGGGCUGGCGCGCCACGUUACUGUUCAGGGCCAGACGCACCGCCCUGCCUGCUCCGGGGAGCCGGACCUCCGAUCCCGGGGAUGGGGGACCCCGAGACCUCAGACCCAACGGAGGGGACUCUGAUACCUCAGACCCCACGCGGGGACCCCGAGGCUUCAGACCCCCACAGGGUGACCCCGAGAUCUCAGACCCCCGCAGGAGUACCUCCAGACCUCAAAUCCCCAGUAAGGGAAUGAAAGAGACUUCGGAUCCCUGAGGCAGCAAAUCCCUGUAGGGGCAUCCCAGGACUCAGGUCACCGCGGGGUGAACCCAGACCUCACAUUCAGGCAAUCCCCAGGACGCCGAUCGGCUGGCACUACCCACUGUCCCGGCCACCCCCCCUGGAGCUCAAAGGCUUGGCCCUCCAGCUGCUCCACCCUGCCGGCAACCAGGCUCAAACCUGCAGCCCGCGGAUCCCCUGCCCCGGAAGCAACCAGAUUCGCGGGAGGUUACCUGACUGAUCCAAGGUGAUACAGCUGGUAACUGAUGGAGAUGUUGGUAGUGAAAUUCAUGUACUUUUAGUUCUUUCUAUGGAAUCUAGAGGUAGAAUACAUGUAAAAGAAUAUCGACUACCGUCUACUCAGGUCUCUGUUUUAUCUGUUUAUUCAUUCACUCUCAGCUUUUAAUAGGAUCCAAUGAGCCCUCUGUGGUUCUGAAGAAUUGCCUUGAGUAUAUGCAGCCUCAAAAAACCCACUUCCUAGGCUCAGUCUUUGAUCAAUAUUUAUCAUUAUCACCAGUUAUUGUUCUAAUAAACUCUACUCUGGAAAUAUGGUGUUAUGGUUUACUUGGGAGUGUGAGUUCAGGGCAUCAUUGAAGACUCACGUACUUUUACUGAGAAAGUGACAUUGAUCUCUGUAGAUUUUGAAUUAAAUGAUAUGAUGAAGUAUAUAAACCAAUUACUUUUGGUCAAGGUGGUAAAAAAAGUUUAGUAUUUGAUAGAUUCUUCAUCUCCACGAUCACAAAUAUUUUCUCCUAGGAUUUCUUCUAGAAAUAUUACUGCUUUAGGUUGUAUAUCAGGUCUAGGUUCUACUUUUUUUUUUUUUUUUCUCCAGGCAGUUUCUCACUCCGUUGCCCAGGCUGGAAUGCAGUGGUGUAAUCACAGCUCACUGCAGCCUCAACCUACUGGACUCAAAGGAUAAGAUCUGCUUUUAAUUAAUUUUUGUAUACGGUAUGGGAUAGGGACCAAAGUUCAUUUUUUUGCAUGUAUACAUAUCCAAAUGUUCCAGCAUCAUUUAUUAAAAAGUUAUUUUUGUCUC